AACCCGGCUGCCCCAGCCCCUGUGUCAACUUUCUUGGUUCACUACGAACAUGGAGCAAAGGCUGACAGCCACAGUCCAGCCCAGACUCACCCCGUUUCUGGGAUGGUGGGCCACGGGAGUGUCCCCAGCGUCCCACCCCCAGACACCGCGGCAGUGACCAGCCCCGGGGUGGGGGCAGCAGCCCUCCCCAGCAGGGACGUUUCCCUCGGGGAGGCAGCCGUGGAGACCGGAACGAUGGCUGAAGCUGGUAACGGGUUAGCUCUUCUGACAGCCCUGCUCGCCCGGUGAUCUACGUCAACAGCCAUUCACAGUGCCCGGUGCCUUUUAAGGGACCAAUGCAACUCCUGUCCACAUGAGCUGGCCACAAGCUGGACAGACACUGUCACCCUCUGACUGGCUCAGGCGGGUGCCCCCGGGGUCAGCAAAGCGCCUGCUUCUGGGUUUACAGAGACCCAAAGCCACGCGAGGGAAGAGCAGAAGAAAGGGGAGAGAAGGAGGCAGACACUCUAGAGAAACUUGCCUGAUGCCAUUUCCACAGAGUUUAAAAGCAGAAGUGGGUCACAGCUGCUGGAGGUCCGGCUGAGGUUACCCCGGGGUGGAGGAGGUGGCAGGAAGAUUAGCCCUGAGCUAACUACUGCCAAUCCUCCUCUCUUUGCUGAGGAAGACCGGCCCUGAGCUAACAUCUGUGCCCAUCUUCCUCUACUUUAUACGUGGGACGCCUGCCACAGAAUGGCUUGCCAAGCGGUGCCAUGGCCGUACCCGGAAACUGAACCAGCGAACCCCAGGCCGCUGAGUGGAACAUGUGCACUUAACCACUGCGCCACCAGGCUGGCCCCUAAGGACCCCAUUUUGCAGCCUCUGGCCAGCAAGGUGCUCAAAGAUGUGGGAGGAGGGGGCUCCCCAAGGCCGUCUAAAGGGAGGAGGGAGUCGCCUCUCAAAGGUCCCCAAACCUCCAGGCCCUCCCCUCUCUCAGCCUGCGCCCUUGGUCAAAACACCGACUGUUUCUAUGGACACAGUGAGCCACUCUCCCCACGGAUCACGAAUCCUCUACAAAGCCUUAUUGAAGAACCAACUAGAUGCACGCAAAACCCUUGCACAGAAUUGUAUCAACACACUCUGUGGCCAGAUCCUCAUCAAGCUACUAAGGGAGCAACUUGGGAUUUUUUGUGAUGACUGUGUUACCAGAGUGGUGUGGGGCAGGGGCAGGGUUAGCAGCCAGAGACCACGGAAGGGAGGCUCAAGGACACAGACACUUGCGGCGUCAAAUAAAAGCCAAUUUUAGACCCUCGAGCCAUUUCCCCAUUUUUUCAACAGUAAUGAGAUCGUCGCGGGAUCGGUAGGCAGCGUCCAUUUGUCAUCUUCUCUUCCGAACCUCUCCUCUUUGUGAGCCCUUCCUGCCAACAUCAGCUCCUUACCGGCAUUGGAGGUGAUGUAUCCAUCACUCAUUUGUAUUCGGUAAUUCACUCAUCAAACAUCUAUUGACUAUUUUGGGCGACACGCUACAGUAGUGAGCUCUUCUAACUACAUAUAAUAGAGAACUCCCGAAGAACAUCGGAUUAAAUAAGAGAGCAGUUCAUUUUCCUCUACUGUGAAACAAGCCUAGAGGUCAGCAGCCCAGAGACCCAGCUCCUUCGGUCUUGCCGUCAUCCAAAGUCGUCACGUUGGGGUCCAAAAUGGCUGCUCAAGCCCUCACGUCCACAUUCCAGGCAGCAGGAAGGAGGAAAGGAAAAGGACCAAAAAGGGGGCCUGCUCAUGGGACCCCCUUCACCUGGAAUGUGUGGGCUCCACCUGGCCCGCCCUGCUCCGUCAGACUCCCUGAAUCCGUACCUGUUUCUUGCGAUGAUGCAGGGGUUAUGUGUGUAACUGUUUUGUGUGUCUGGGUCUCCCUGGACUGUAAUCCCCGUGAGAGCAGGGACACCUGCCAUGGCCCCGGCACCAGGGGAAGCGGCAC
rnacentral:lncRNA from 1 species